CGCUUAACCGACUGAGCCACCCAGGCGCCCCCUUUUGUUUUUCUGUGCCUCUAAGGGAGAGGGCUCCAGGGACUAAUCUUGAGGCCAAGCCCACAAGAGGAUAGAGCAGGUAACACCUACAACCCUCUUUUGUCUUCCAGAGUCAGUGAAUGUGGAGCGGGCAGCAAGAUUAAUGUCCAAGUCUUCAAGGUAUAAAGCAUAAAAGAAAAUUUAAAGACCAAAAGCUUCAUAAUCUUGCAGCCCACUGAAAGACAGCUGAAACAUGCAGAGUGUGACCUUCUUCCAGAACUCGUGGCUGCCUUCGUACCUUUCUGUUUAUUUUUUUUUUUAAGAUUUUAUUUAUUUAUUUGACAGAGAGAGACACAGCCAGAGAGGGAACACAAGCAGGGGGAGGGGAGAGGGAGAAGCAGGCUUCCCGCCGAGCAGGGAGCCCGAUGCGGGGCUCGAUCCCAGGACCUUGGGACCAUGACCCGAGCCGAAGGCAGACGCUUAACGACUGAGCCACCCAGGCGCCCCGUACCUUUCUGUUUAAAAGGAACCUUAUUUUGGCAGCAGCUGGCCCCUCAGGGUCCUGAAAAUCUUGCUUCCAGAUUCCUUGGAGACUCGCGCUACCCCUCACCCCCACUAAUUAAAAAGUACACAGUCACUCCUCACAAUCCCAGUACAGCUCUUUCUGCCCACACAUCCUGUCCCUUGAAUAGGGAAGGGGUGAAGGAUAGGGAAGGGGUGAAGGUCUAGGCAAGAGAGAGAGGAGGCCCCUGAUUCCCCUGACUGGGUUCUGGAACUAUUCCUGGCAAGAGGAGACGCUGACGCAGAGCAGAACAAGAGAUAAGAAAACAUCCAAGACACCAGAAUCUCAAGGCCACAAGCUUCCCAGUCAGUUCUCAAGACAAGACUCCCCUAAAGGCCCUCAGCGGCAACCCAUUCCGGGACCCCUCGCACUCUAGAGAGCUUUUUCUUUCCUUUCUGCUCUCACCUUCACUUAAUAAACUUUGACUUCACUUCACCCUUUUGUGUCCGCAAGAUUCAUUCUUCGACUUCAUGAGACAAGAACCCUGCCAUCCUCCAACAUUUACACCUGGAGCUGGGAGCCAAGAGUCACAGGGGUGAAGACAUGUUCUCAUAAAAUCGAGAGGAGUUAAGAAGAAUCACCCUCUCGAAUCAAUCAGCAACAUAUGGGGAGGCAGUGCGCUGUGGGAGGUCAAGUAGCUUUAAGGUCAGACAGAUCAAGGUUUUGGUACCAGCUUUCACCCUGGCCAGUGGUAUAUAUACAAGGUAAUUCACUGCAGAACUGUUGAUAAUAACAAAUGACUAGACGUAUACUAAGUGUCUCCCAAUAGGGGACCUGUUAAGUAAAUUAUGGUAUAAUCACAUAGAAAGUUAUCCAAGUGGAAAAACAAGGUACAAAGCAGUGUAUAAAGGAUGUUACCCUUUGUGAAAAACACAAAAAGGAUGAAACUAUGUUCUAUUUUAUAUCUGCUUGUUUAGGAAAUAGAAUAUCUCCGAAAGAAUACUCAAGAAACUAAUAAGAUUGAUUUUCAGGGGGAGGGGAAGUGGAUGGCUGAGAAAAAACAUUUGAAAGAGAAACUUGUCAUUUCAUUUUUAAACUGCAUAACUGUCAUCUGUUCAAAAAUUAAGACAAAGAAUGGUUUUUAAAGAAAAAGUAAGGAGCUAUAUCUGGAGAAAAUUUACAAAAGGAAAAAGAAAACAGCUUUCCUUUUGACUAGUUAUGCAAACUUGAACAAGUUAUUUCACUUUUACAGGGCUCAGUUGUCCAUACGUCUAAAUGAGGAUAACAAUAGGACCUAUCACCUAGGUUUGUGUAAAGAUUAAAUGAUCAAAUAUAAAUGUACAUUAAAAGAUUAAAUUUACAUUUACAUUAAUGGUACUGUGCCUGGCACAAAAAUACUGGAUACAUAUUAACUGUUAACAUUAUUAUAUUUGUUGGGAUUCUGAUAAUGAAGGCUAUUGAGAGGUUGCAAAGAAAGAAGAUACGGGCUAUUCCUGUAUAGAGCUUACAGAUAUGUAUAUAUAUAUAUACACACACACAUACAUAUGUAUAAAAUCUGUAUAUAUAUAUAUAUAUCUGUAUAUAUAUCAUCUGUAUAUAUACAUAUAUCAUUUUUCUCUUGCACAACUGUAUAUAUAUAAAAAUACAGAUAUAUAUACAGAUAUUUAUAUUUAUUUAUAUAUAUAACAUACAUAUAUAUAUAUCUCCUCACCCCCACCCUGCUGUGUAAUCAGUAACUUUAUCCUUGCAAUAGUUCUGACCAAAAAUCUUAGAAUCAUCCUUGAGGGGCACUGGGUGGCUCAGAUGGUUAAGCGUCUGCCUUCGGCUCAGGUCAUGAUCCCGGAGUCCUGGGAUCGAGCCCCGCAUCGGGCUCCCUGCUCGGCGGGAAGCCUGCUUCUCCUUCUCCCACUCCCCUUGCUUGUGUUCCCUCUCACGCUGUCUCUCUCUGUUAAAUAAAUAAAUAAAAUCUUAAAAAAAAAAAAGAAUCAUCCUUGAAUCCUCUCUUUCUCUCACA